AAAGAUGGCAAAAAGGAAGGCUUUACUAAAGCACAACAUUUUUUAUACACAACAUAGAUCUUAACUACUAGUGCUACUGCUUUAAGACAGGUAGAAAGGAGAGGGGGAGAGAGAGAGAGAGAGAGAAUGAAGUUCUUGUUCCAGUGUCCAUGUUGUUCUUGUUUCUGCUUCAUGAAGCCACAGAAAGGCAAACCAAAAGCUAAAGUGGAAGAAGCUAAACCUAAGGAUAAGAAGGUGGAAGAAGCCAAACCUAAAGAUAAGAAGGUGGAAGAAGCCAAGCCAAAAGAGAAGGAAGAAAGCAAACCAGAAUGCUAGUAGAGGCAAUGGCAAAUGCAGCUAUAUUAUUCUAAUAGAAGUAUUGUUCUUCAUUUACUAGUUAUAAUUUUUAUGGUGUUUUCCAAUUUCCAUCCAUAUGGGGUGCAAUCUUUAACACUUUUUUGGAAAAAGCCAGUACUACUUCUCCUGCUAAUGUAUUUUUAUAAGAAAAUAGUUGCACUUUAUUCACUCUGAAAGGCAAACCUUACUUCUGAAUUGUGUUGCUCGGAUUCUUAAAAAAUGUCACCACAUCUGUGGCGGAUUCUCAAAAAAUGUGUAGCUUUUGGAGGAUCCUACACACCCCGACAACAAUUUUUGAAGGAUACUACAUUGAGUCAGCAGCUAUUUCAGUUUUAAGAUAGAUAAUAGGAUGAUUGACUGGGGGCAUAUUCUAUUCGAAGUGUGUUUUAUUGAAAAUUCCGGACUUUUAAGUUCCUCUUUAGUCAGUGUAGACAGUAGAUACAAAUGCCAUCUGCACUAAACAAGCAUCUUGAACAAGUAUACUGUAGUCUUUUAAAAAGUUAGGUAAUUAGAUAAGAUCUGAAAACACAUAAUCCUUUAUCACUUUAUGUGGAUCUUGGAGUGUAUGAUAUAGAAGCUGAAUUCCUAUUCAUUGAUAGUCUAUUUCCUUUUUAGGUCUGUGUAAAUAAAACCAAUUUACUUUUCCCUUUACCCUCCCCUCUCUUACUGAGAUUACAAAACAUAUAUUCUUGUGAGCCAAUGCUGAGUAUAUAAGUUGGUGAUAUCAAAUCUAGAGGUUAAUAGUACUCUCAGUGGCGGAUGUAAAAUUUCAGCUAAACAAGUUGCUUGAAGUCCUUUGUAUAAGUCUAGGUCUAGUUUCAUCUAAAUAUAGAUUAGUUUUACUUUAUUUGUUUAUUAUGUCUUUCAAUCUUUACUUAUGUCAUGUGUUGUUGCUUAGGCUUGCUUUUUAAAAAGAUAUAUAGGGCUAUAAUAGUUGAAGUUUCAACAAUCACUCAAAUCUCUAUAAUGGUGUUUUCACCUACCUAGUACCACAUUGGCUUUCUUCUAAUCGUGACUCUCUAAAUUAGUGUAAAUUCUUCUAAAUUGAAAAGAACAAAUAAAAAA
rnacentral:lncRNA from 1 species